rnacentral:rRNA from 1 species
ACCCGCUGAACUUAAGCAUAUCAAUAAGCGGAGGAAAAGAAACCAACAGGGAUUGCCCCAGUAACGGCGAGUGAAGCGGCAACAGCUCAAAUUUGAAAUCUGGCCCUCGCGGUCCGAGUUGUAAUUUGUAGAGGAUGCUUUUGGCGCGGUGCCUUCCGAGUUCCCUGGAACGGGACGCCUUAGAGGGUGAGAGCCCCGUACGGUCGGACACCAAGCCUCGGUAAAGCUCCUUCGACGAGUCGAGUAGUUUGGGAAUGCUGCUCUAAAUGGGAGGUAAAUUUCUUCUAAAGCUAAAUACUGGCCAGAGACCGAUAGCGCACAAGUAGAGUGAUCGAAAGAUGAAAAGCACUUUGGAAAGAGAGUUAAAAAGCACGUGAAAUUGUUGAAAGGGAAGCGCUUGCAGCCAGACUUGCCUGUAGUUGCUCAUCCGGGUUUUUACCCGGUGCACUCUUCUAUAGGCAGGCCAGCAUCAGUUUGGGCGGUUGGAUAAAGGUCUCUGUCAUGUACCUCUCUUCGGGGAGAACUUAUAGGGGAGACGACAUGCAACCAGCCCGGACUGAGGUCCGCGCAUCUGCUAGGAUGCUGGCGUAAUGGCUGU